UAUGUAGGCGGGAGGUGACAGUCCUGUGCUACUCUGCCUUGGCCAGACUGUGCCCACAGUGCCAACAGGAAUCUGGGCAUGCCAGUCUCAGGGAGACCCAGACAAACUGGCUGUAACCAGAGCAUGUACCUGAACUGUGAGGGAUCGGCUGUGUCUAUCAAACCCUGCAGUGGAGAAGCAAACACUCAUCUCCUGAAGCUCAGCAAAACAGUGAAUUCAGUGCAGCUCACUUCAAUGAAGAAAUACUAAGGCUCUGCCAUGGCCAAGUCCUUCCAGCCGGUGAUAGUGCACCAGCCAUGAGAUGAAAGGAUGUCCAGCACCAUACACUUCUCCAUGAUGUAUCGUGUUGCCAUAGGCCCAUCAGGAUGGGGUCAAAUGGACCGGACCCUCCACAACUGUGAGCCAAUAUAAACCUCUUCUCCUAUACUAA